rnacentral:rRNA from 1 species
UGGGGAAUUUUGGACAAUGGGCGAAAGCCUGAUCCAGCAAUGCCGCGUGUGUGAAGAAGGCCUUCGGGUUGUAAAGCACUUUUGUCCGGAAAGAAAUCCUUGGCUCUAAUACAGUCGGGGGAUGACGGUACCGGAAGAAUAAGCACCGGCUAACUACGUGCCAGCAGCCGCGGUAAUACGUAGGGUGCAAGCGUUAAUCGGAAUUACUGGGCGUAAAGCGUGCGCAGGCGGUUUGCUAAGACCGAUGUGAAAUCCCCGGGCUCAACCUGGGAACUGCAUUGGUGACUGGCAGGCUAGAGUAUGGCAGAGGGGGGUAGAAUUCCACGUGUAGCAGUGAAAUGCGUAGAGAUGUGGAGGAAUACCGAUGGCGAAGGCAGCCCCCUGGGCCAAUACUGACGCUCAUGCACGAAAGCGUGGGGAGCAAACAGGAUUAGAUACCCUGGUAGUCCACGCCCUAAAACGAUGUCAACUAGUUGUUGGGGAUUCAUUUCCUUAGUAACGUAGCUAACGCGUGAAGUUGACCGCCUGGGGAGUACGGUCG